UAGAGAACAGGUGUAUAUGUUUCUUUUUUUUUUCACAAGAAUCUGAGCUGCCACACAGUAUUCUACUGACACUGAAUUCCCUAACGAGAGAAAAAAAAUGUAACAGAUAAAGCCUUGUCAUGUAUCCAAUAAAACAGGUGCACCCCUACAACCCAAUAUGAAAGCAGCUCAGUGUAUCCACUUCAGUCAAUGGCAUCCUAUGGCAUCUCUGCAGGCUGCCAACAGCAGGAGGCAGGUAAUCAGUUGCCUGUUACUGCCUGCAUUAACACAUCUGGCCUACCACUGCAAACUAUACAAAGUGAAAUCCUGUCUACCAGUGAUCACAGUGAGUGUGUGUGUGUGUGCGCACGUGCAUACAAGACAAAAAUCCUGGAAGGGAGAUUCAACUGGUCUUUAAUACUAAAAUUCUCUAUGGUCCCUUUGAAGAAUUAAUUUCAGUGUCAGUUUUAUUAGGAUUAAUUUAAGGUUAGGGAUAAAAAAGGUUAGGACUAAGGUUAGUUUUGGUGCCGUAAUUGAACUUAAGGUUAGGUAAGGAAUAAAAUCAGAAUCUGAUGUUCAGUAGUUAAACAUGGUAGGUCAAGUGUGUUCUAAAAACUGCUAACAGAUAGUAAGCUUAAACCAACAGUUCAUACCAGCACCUCAAAGUGGAUAAAAUGCAUAUUUCUUUUAUAUCAGUCCAUCCAUUUUAGCAGAUUAAGCCGGUCAUUUCAGAUGUCCCACUUCCCAACACCAUGCUCCAUUUCCAACUGGGUAAUGGUAAUCCCAAAGUGUUCCAGGCCAAAUGAAAUAUGUAAUCCCUCCAUCUCCAGGCUCCUGCCAGGUGCCCAGAAAACUUCCAAAGGAAGGGAUCCAGGAGGUAUCCAAAUCAGAUGUCCAAACAACGUCAGCUGGCUCAUUUCAACUCAAAGGAGCAGCAGCGCUACUCCGAGCUAACUCUGGAUGUCUGAGAUGCUCACCUUAUUUCUAAGGCUGAGCACAGCUAGCCCAUGGAGGAAACUCAUUUUAGCUGCUUGUAUCCACAACUCCAUUCUUUCCUUAACUACUCAGAGCUCAUGACCAUAGGUGAGGGUUGGAACAUAGACCGACUGGCAAACUCCUUCACUUAGACACCAGCUCCCCUUCAUUGUGGUAUUGUGGAGUGAACAAUCUACUGGUUUACAGACAGAAACAGACCUCAGACCCUACAGCAAACUAUUGUCCAAAUCUGAAGCUCCCCUCAGAUUCAUGAAGGUAAAAAAGUGAGUUUCAUCUAAUUUUUUAUCUGUCCAGCCGCAACUUUACUGUGUUGGUUCACUUAUACUGUUGUAGGAAUGUAAAAAUAAUGUUUUGGACUUGUGUUUUGUGUCUUUCUUCCAGGAGUCAUCAUUCUUAGAGGUGCUUUAAUGGUGCCAGUUUUCUCAUCAAAUUCACAGCAAGGAAGUGAAUACUGUGCAUGUGACCCAGCAGCAGUGAAGAGAGUGAACUGGGUAGGAGAGAUGACCCACUGGACCUGGGGGAGACAUUUGAGGGAAAUCAUUUCAGUUUUAUAUUAUUGAUUCCAUUCACAUGCUGUGUAAGGGCUAAUCUGUGCGUCCCCACCAAGAUCUGAAUUUAGAAGUAUUUAGAAUUUUGAUUGAAGUUGCUAAAAAGAUAAAUUUUAUUAUGAUUCCUCCAAUUUCCAACAUACUGCUGACAAUAAUGAAUUAGUUUGUCCUGACUAUGGGACAUGCUUUUUUGUUAUUGUUUUGUUUUGUUGUUGUUGUUUUAUUUUUAUGAUAUUUAGUCUAGUUUUUAGCCUCUCUAUGUUCCCUUUCAUUUAGUCUAAAAUAUGUUGACCACUAUUUGACAACAGUUUUGCUCAGAUAUUCAUUUUCUCCUGGAGAGGUAUCUCGAAGAUGCUGCUAUCCCCUGAAAACACCCACAUUUGUACCAACUAAACUGUCAUGUUUGUAUGUUGAUGUCACAGCAGUGCUUUGCUUAUGUACAGACUCAUAGAACGGCUAUUGAUGCUGCAGAUUAUUAAUCUUGUCGCUUUGAACAUUUUUUUUUCUGUAGACUAUGAAAUAUUUUUCUCACCAGAGUAGUAAGACAACUCGUUGUCUGCCACAGGUUUUCAUGAUGUACUUUUGUUUGUUUUCUCUUUCAAAUUACUUUGGUGAAGCUGGACUGUCCGAUCUGUUGGUUGUUCUUCCCCCAGCUGAACACUUUAUAGCAAUGGAGCUCUCUUUUCACACAUCUCACAAUUAUUCUACAAAAAUAAUAUACAUAUGUAGAUUUGAAAAAGUGUAGAGAUGAAAAGUGUUCUGGUGCUCUGAUGUUUACACUGUGUAUGUUGUCCUCAAAACGUUACUUUAUAAAUUAAGCUAUUGUUUUGGACAAUUGCAUUUAUUAAAUGAAUCUCCUAUUUGUUCA